UGGGGAAUAUUGCACAAUGGACGGAAGUCUGAUGCAGCGACGCCGCGUGGGGGAUGAAGGCUUUCGGGUUGUAAACUCCUUUCAGUACAGAAGAAGCUUUAUUGUGACGGUAUGUGCAGAAGAAGCGCCGGCUAACUACGUGCCAGCAGCCGCGGUAAUACGUAGGGCGCGAGCGUUGUCCGGAAUUAUUGGGCGUAAAGAGCUCGUAGGCGGUUUGUCGAGUCUGCUGUGAAAGACCGGGGCUUAACUCCGGGGCUGCAGUGGGUACGGGCAGGCUUGAGUGCGGUAGGGGUAACCGGAAUUCCUGGUGUAGCGGUGGAAUGCGCAGAUAUCAGGAGGAACACCGAUGGCGAAGGCAGGUUACUGGGCCGUUACUGACGCUGAGGAGCGAAAGCAUGGGGAGCGAACAGG
rnacentral:rRNA from 1 species